rnacentral:rRNA from 1 species
UACGUAGGGACCGAGCGUUGUCCGGAAUCAUUGGGCGUAAAGAGCGUGUAGGCGGCCUUUUAAGUCCUGCGUGAAAUCCUGCGGCUCAACCGCAGACGGUCGUGGGAAACUGGAAGGCUAGAGUGCGGGAGAGGAGAGUGGAAUUCCUGGUGUAGCGGUGAAAUGCGCAGAUAUCAGGAAGAACACCAAUGGCGAAGGCAGCUCUCUGGGACGGUACUGACGCUGAGACGCGAAAGCGUGGGGAGCGAACAGG